GGCCGCGGGAAUUGGAUUCAGGCCUAACACAUGCAAGUCGAGCGGUAGAGAUUCUUCGGAAUCUUGAGAGCGGCGUACGGGUGCGGAACACGUGUGCAACCUACCUUUAUCUGGGGGAUAGCCUUUCGAAAGGAAGAUUAAUACCCCAUAAUAUAUUGAUUGGCAUCAAUCGAUAUUGAAAACUCCGGUGGAUAGAGAUGGGCACGCGCAAGAUUAGCUAGUUGGUGAGGUAACGGCUCACCAAGGCAAUGAUCUUUAGGGGGCCUGAAAGGGUGAUCCCCCACUUUGGGACUGAGACACGGACCAGACUCCUACGGGAGGCAGCAGUGAGGAAUAUUGGACAAUGGGUGCAAGC
rnacentral:rRNA from 1 species